rnacentral:tRNA from 1 species
GCCUGGGUGACUCAGUUAAGUAUCUGACUUUGACUCAGGUCAUGAGCUCGUGGUUUGUGGGUUCAAGCCCCACAUUGGGCU